rnacentral:tRNA from 1 species
AUCAGCGUGGCAUAGUGGUUUCAGCAUUGGACUACAACUCUGGAGACCAGGGUUCGAAUCUCUGCUUGGCCA